CUUCUCUUCGGCGACGUCACCAUUAUUGCUGCCAGUCACCACCGGCGCCGUCCCUACCCAGCUGAAAAAAUCUUGUUUCAGAUAUAACAUUGAAAAAAGAGUUUGCCUAAUUGACUACUUCUUCCAAAUCUGUCCCCCAUUUUCUACGCUCUCACACUUUCUUCACUUCAUUUUACCCAUAUCUCACGCCCUUCUCUUCUUCCAACGGUCUCCACCUUCAUUUUCCAUCUUCUAGUUGUUUGUGCUUGAUUUAGGAGAUCAUUGUUCUGCCUCUAUUGACAACUUUGACGAUCAGUAGACAACAUCCUUAAUCUUUCUGAUACCUCAACGAAGACAUUCUUUGAGCCAUUUCGACAUUUUAAAGAUCUGAGAGGGGUAAUGCACUUGACAAUCUUGACGGUGUAGUGAUAUGACUAUUCUGGCUAUGGAAUUAGCCAGGAAAAUUUGAUUCUUUAUGGGCAAUCUGUUGGAAGUGGCCCAACAUUACACUUAGCAGCUAAAUUACCACGGUUGAGAGGUGUGGUUCUGCACAGUGUCAUUCUUUCUGGUCUUUGUGUGCUUUGCCAUGCAAACUUCUCUUUUUUCUUUGAUAUUUACAAGAAUUUAAACAAGAUUCAGAAGGUGAAAAGUCUUGUGCUCGUUAUACAUUUGGUUACCAGACAAUUUGCUUCGAGGGGGAUUCCGUCGUAUCCUGAUGAUGCUCGUAACCCCAUACUCAAUCUAGUGGUGCGGAUGAUGAUGGGACUCACGUGUCAAACACACAAAUGCAUGUUUGAAUGUUAAUGUUGUGGUGGAUUUGUGAAUUGUGUAAGUGUUUUGUGGAUGUUUGCGAGGGGUGAAGUAGUCUAAUGUUGUAGACUUAACUUAAUGUAGACUUGUUUAAUGUUUUGUGGAUGUUUGCAAAGGUUGAAGUAGUUUAAUGUCUCUUGUGAAUGUUUGAAUGACGUUUUGAUUUAACUUUGAAGUAGUUUCGAAUUGAAUUUGAUGUAUUGGUGAUUGUAAUAAAUGUGUUUGUUGAAGUAGCUUAA